rnacentral:rRNA from 1 species
UGGGGAAUUUUGGACAAUGGGCGCAAGCCUGAUCCAGCCAUGCCGCGUGCGGGAAGAAGGCCUUCGGGUUGUAAACCGCUUUUGUCAGGGAAGAAAUCUUCUGAGUUAAUACCUCGGGAGGAUGACGGUACCUGAAGAAUAAGCACCGGCUAACUACGUGCCAGCAGCCGCGGUAAUACGUAGGGUGCAAGCGUUAAUCGGAAUUACUGGGCGUAAAGCGUGCGCAGGCGGUUUUGUAAGACAGAGGUGAAAUCCCCGGGCUCAACCUGGGAACUGCCUUUGUGACUGCAAGGCUUGAGUGCGGCAGAGGGGGAUGGAAUUCCGCGUGUAGCAGUGAAAUUGCGUAGAUAUGCGGAGGAACACCGAUGGCGAAGGCAAUCCCCUGGGCCUGCACUGACGCUCAUGCACGAAAGCGUGGGGA